GGCCUCGUAGCUCAGUUGGCUAGACCGUUGGUUGUACUAAAGCCUUCCCCCUUGCUGGCAUGGGUUCAAAUCCCACCGAGGCCG
rnacentral:tRNA from 1 species